ensembl:lncRNA
AAAACUGAUUAAUUACGUUUUCUGAGAAUAGGUAAAAAAUUAUUUUUGCCAGCGUUGUUGUGUGUAAAUGCUUGAAAGAGAUCUCGAUUGUUGCUCUUUGCCCCGUAUGGCUUUUUAUUCCUAUCUGAGAAUGCUCAGGACUCAUAUAGGGAUGGAAGCCAUGCAGGGAUGGGGGACUGUGUCGUCAUGGAGACUUGGUACCAACAGCCCUCUUUAUAUGCCAAUCAUGUGACACACAUACACCUGUCCUGGCAUCGGUCCGGGCACAGAUGCCCAUUGAGUCUGGCUGGCUGCAGGGAGAAUAUCUGCUCUGCCAAUCAAGUCCACAGACGGUUCUCUGAAGUCUCACACUCGCACACAAACACACUGGAUGGACAUCUGCUGCCAAGUGACGCUAAAACAGCUGUUCAUUUGCAUCAGCACCACCAGAAAACAGUAUGGUGGACAAAAACAACCGCAAAAACUCCAGGAUGGCGUCUCGUGCGUCCAGAAAGGUUAAAGAUUCCUCUGAUGAGAGAGCAAGCAAGUACUUCCAGUGAAGUUAAAACAGAAGAGUCAGAGGACAUGAGUGACCACAGUGAAGAGAUGAGGCCCAUGUUCACAGAGCACUCAUCACCAUCAAAACAAAUCAAAGAAGACGAGAAAAGAACGUGAAGAUGAGGGGGACUGGGAGGAAGUGGAAGAAAUGGCAGAACCGCUGGGUCCUGUGGACUUGACUGAACUAGCAGUUGUGUCAAAACCAGUGGAGACUGAGAUCGAGACUCCAGACAUGGCUCGAAAGAGGCAGAGGAAGGAGAAAAGAAAAGAGAAGAGUUUAAAACUUUCCUGUGUCGAAUGAUGAAACGAUUUAACAAGGAACCGCUGGUGGGGAAGAGGAGCAGAGUGAGGAAGAGUUUCAACCAACCAGUGAGGACAACAGUGAAGACUCUGACGGGGCUAUGGAAGUAUGCAGAAAGUCGAAGGUGAAAGGAAAAGGGUCGGGCUCCUCGGAGGUCGAGUGAGGUCAAACAGGAGGAGGAGGAGGUGGUGAAGAAACAAAGAUGUAAAAGAAAGGAGGGAAAAGGGGUGGAUGAGUGGUUGGAGGGGUAUUUGGAAAGUACCAGGAAGUGGGUGUGUGGGAUGUGGAUCAAGGUGUUGGCCAAAUGCAGCUCUGCUCCAAUCGGGCGACUCAAACGAUCACUUACGUGGUGGCCGUUGAUAACGAGGGGUACCUGAAAGAUCUUAGCAGCAGGUAUGACCCCACGUGGCUGACAUCAUCACGCCGAUGACGCAUCGACUCAGAAUGGUGGAAGGAGCUCUACAAGUCUCUAGAUACUGAAGGAGGACAGAAGGAGGAUCAGGAGAGACUGUGUGCACACACUCCAUUCUAGAGAUACCUGGCUGAAGGAAGCAAGAGCUGUUUGACUAGGAGAGGAGCCGUACAAGCCAGGAUGAUGUCCGAGCAGAAAGAUGUCAGAGAUCUGCCUCUCUUUGGAGUCUGGCAAACUGAAGAGUAUACCAGCCUCUGAUCGCUGUUGAUGGCAAAGUACCACGUAAUGAGCAGCCUGGGAAAAUGAGCAAGAUAACCAGAAGCAGAAAGAACAAGAGAAACGUGAGAAGUGUGUGGUGGCUAAUUGGACACUGCUGGUCAAAGGCCUGUUAAUCAAAGAGAGGCUGAAGCGUUGCUAUGGGCAACAAAGGCUGGCAUUAGGGGCGGGGCUUAAGCAAGGCAAAGAAGGCGGGGCUGAAGGAGUGUCCUCAGAUGAGGAGGAAGAGGGCGGGGCUCAGACAGCUCCACCCUCUCUGGUUAGUUCAUUGCCACACAGGCAAUAGGAACAAGAGGAAAAGAUUUUAAGGCGUGUAACUAAACGAGAAAAACAUGGAGAAACAUCUCUUCUCUUUUGAAAAGUGUGACUAAAUCGGCCCUUUAUUAUUUCACUUUCCUUAUCUUCCUUUUAAAUGUUUUUCUGCAUUUAUAAGCAUGUACUGUAUUAUCUGUAACUGUGAGCUCUACAUCACUAUACCCAACCUUUUAUAACUGCAAUAGCUACAUAUGCAGGGAAUUUCAAAAAUGUCAGCCAUUUAUGUUUAGUAAUUUUUACAGACUGUAUAUUUGUUCUUCUAUAUCCAAAUACAUAUUUUUAUAGAACAUGCUGUUGAAAAAACAUGCAAAUAAACAAAUGGUAUGUUGCA